AUGCCAGCAGAAAUGACAAUGUUGGCCGAUCAUCCAGCCAGGCAGUUGCUGGACUUCAAUCAGAAACUUGACAUCAAUCUGUUAGACACUGUUGUCAACUCCAUGUACCAUGACAUCGGUACCCAGCAACGAGUGGCUCAAGAAGUGCUAACAAACCUGAAGGACCAUCCUGAUGCCUGGACGAGGGUUGACACCAUUCUGGAAUUCUCUCAGAAUAUGAAAACCAAAUAUUAUGCGCUCCAAAUUCUGGAGGCCGUCAUCAAAACACGUUGGAAGAUUCUCCCAAGACAUCAAUGUGAAGGAAUCAAGAAGUAUGUCGUCGGCUUGAUUAUCAAGACUUCCUCUGAUCCUGCAAACAUGGAGAAGGAAGGGGUGUACAUUUCAAAGCUCAACAUGAUCCUCGUACAGAUCUUGAAACAAGAAUGGCCCAAACACUGGCCCACUUUCAUCAGCGAUAUCGUGGGUGCCAGUCGGACCAGCGAAAGCCUCUGUCAGAACAACAUGAUCAUCCUGAAGCUCCUCAGCGAAGAAGUGUUUGACUUCUCCAGUGGCCAGAUGACGCAAGUCAAAGCCAAACACCUGAAAGACAGCAUGUGCAACGAGUUCUCUCAGAUAUUCCAGCUGUGUCAGUUUGUGAUGGAAAACUCCCAAAAUGCACCACUGGUCCACGCCACCCUGGAGACUCUGCUUCGUUUUCUGAACUGGAUUCCUUUAGGAUACAUCUUUGAGACGAAACUCAUCAGCACACUGGUCUUCAAGUUUCUCAACGUUCCCAUGUUUCGAAACGUGACUCUGAAAUGUUUGACUGAGAUUGCCGGAGUGAGUGUCAACCAGUACGAGGAGCCGUUCAUCAACCUGUUCACCUCCACCAUGUCUCAGCUCAAACAGAUGCUGCCGCUGAACACAAACAUCAAAAUGGCAUACGCCAACGGGAAAGAUGACGAGCAGAACUUUAUCCAGAAUCUGAGUCUGUUCCUCUGCACCUUCCUCAAAGAACACGGGCAGCUGGUGGAGAAAAGACCCAACCUGCGUGAGACGCUCAUGGAGGCUCUUCACUACAUGCUGUUGGUUUCGGAGGUCGAGGAGACGGAGAUCUUCAAGAUCUGUCUGGAGUACUGGAACCACUUGGCUGCAGAGUUGUACAGAGAGAGCCCCUUCUCCACAUCAAGUACCCCUCUGCUGUCUGAUGUUCCACCUCGAAGACAUCUCUACCUGCCCGUGCUUUCUCAGGUGCGUUUGCUGAUGGUGAGCCGCAUGGCCAAACCAGAGGAGGUGUUGGUGGUGGAGAACGACCAGGGUGAGGUGGUCAGAGAGUUCAUGAAGGACACGGAUGCCAUCAAUCUGUAUAAGAAUAUGAGAGAAACUCUGGUAUAUCUGACACAUCUGGACUAUGCAGACACUGAGCGAAUCAUGACGGAGAAGCUCCACAACCAGGUGAACGGCACCGAGUGGUCAUGGAGGAAUUUGAACAUGCUCUGCUGGGCCAUCGGGUCUAUAAGCGGGGCGAUGCAUGAGGAGGAUGAGAAAAGGUUUCUGGUUACAGUGAUCAAGGACCUGCUUGGCUUAUGUGAGCAGAAGAGAGGGAAGGAUAACAAGGCCAUCAUAGCGUCCAACAUCAUGUACAUCGUGGGUCAGUAUCCUCGCUUCCUGCGAGCUCAUUGGAAGUUCCUCAAGACCGUCGUCAACAAGCUGUUUGAGUUCAUGCACGAGACCCACGAUGGUGUGCAGGAUAUGGCCUGUGACACGUUCAUCAAGAUCGCUCAGAAGUGCCGGCGUCAUUUUGUCCAGGUUCAGGUGGGCGAGGUGAUGCCCUUCAUUGAUGAGAUCCUCAACAACAUCAACACCAUCAUCUGUGACCUGCAGCCUCAGCAGGUCCAUACGUUCUAUGAGGCGGUGGGUUACAUGAUCGGAGCGCAGACGGACCAGGCGGUCCUGGAGCUCCUCAUAGAGAAGUACAUGCUGCUUCCUAACCAGGUCUGGGACAGCAUAAUCCAGCAAGCCACCAAGAAUGUGGACAUCCUGAAGGACGCCGAGACGGUCCGCCAGCUCGGCAGCAUCUUGAAGACCAACGUCAGAGCCUGUAAAGCCGUGGGUCAUCCUUUUGUCGUCCAACUGGGUCGAAUCUACCUGGAUAUGCUCAACGUCUACAAAUGCCUGAGCGAAAACAUUUCCUCUGCUGUCCAGACAAACGGUGAGAUGGUGACGAAGCAGCCUUUGAUUAGGAGUAUGAGGACGGUCAAGAGGGAGACGCUCAAACUGAUUUCAGGCUGGGUCAGUCGCUCCAACGACCCUCAGAUGGUGGCAGAGAACUUUGUGCCCCCCCUGCUGGAGGCAGUGCUCAUUGAUUACCAGAGGAAUGUCCCUGCUGCAAGAGAGCCAGAGGUCCUCAGCACCAUGGCAACCAUCGUCAACAAACUGGGAGUCCACAUUACAGGCGAGAUCCCAAAGAUCUUCGAUGCCGUCUUCGAGUGCACUUUAAACAUGAUCAACAAGGACUUUGAAGAGUUCCCAGAGCACCGAACCCAUUUUUUCUACCUGCUUCAAGCUGCCACCUCCCAGUGCUUCCCAGCCUUUCUGGCCAUCGCACCUGCCCAGUUUAAACUGAUCCUGGACUCCAUCAUCUGGGCCUUUAAGCACACGAUGAGGAACGUUGCUGACACAGGUCUACAGAUCCUCCUCACACUCCUGCAGAACGUGUCUGCAGAAGAGGCAGCAGCUCAGAGCUUCUACCAGACGUACUUCUGUGAUAUUCUGCAGCACAUUUUCUCCGUGGUCACAGAUACGUCUCACACCGCAGGUCUGACCAUGCACGCCACCAUCUUGGCCUACAUGUUUAACUUGGUGGAAGAAGGGAAAGUCAGCGUUGCUCUGAGCACCACCAACCCCACCAACAACCAGCUGCAUGUUCAGGAGUACAUCGCCAACCUGCUCAAAAUGGCCUUCCCUCACUUACAAGAUGCCCAGGUGAAGGUGUUUGUUACGGGUCUGUUCAGCCUGAAUCAGGACAUCCCAGCCUUCAAGGAGCACCUGAGGGACUUCCUCGUCCAGAUUAAGGAGUUUGCUGGUGAGGACACGACGGAUCUGUUCCUGGAGGAGAGAGAAGCGGCUCUUCGCCAAGCCCAGGAGGAGAAACACAAGCUGCAGAUGUCUGUUCCUGGAAUACUUAACCCCCAUGAGCUGCCGGAGGAGAUGUGCGACUAAAGCAACUGCAGCAACUUAUUGAUUUAUCUUUUCAACAAUUUGUAUUUGACCUGGAUUGGAAAGACAAUCUGGGGGUAAUACGGACGCUGGAGUGCAUUUGGAAGUCGACCAAAUCGAUGUUUAUAUGUAAAUGAGAAUUGACUUCAGUUUCGGCGUGUUUUGUUUGUUUUUUCUUUUCUUUAUAAACUUAUUUUAUACAAGGGUUUUUGUGUUCAACAUGAUUUGUUAAAGUUUCCUUUUGGCAACACGGUUAUUUUACAUCUGCUUGAAGAUACAGAAAUUAAAGGUUCGUUUUAAUCCCUCACUUUACUCACCUGCUCCUUGUUAAUAUGUAAGAUAUAUUGUGAAAACGUUUGCCACGUUAAUGUGAAAGAUUGUUUUUGUUUCAGAUGUGCUCUGUGCACUGAAUAGAAUGAAUGUGUCGCUCUGAUGGCUUCGCCCUCGUUCGUUUGUCUUUUUUUUUUCUUGCUCCUUGUCAUCUGAUGGGUCGGAGCUUCUGCUACUGGAUGUACCUGAAGGCUGUGUGCAGCUCAUCCUGUUUGUUAACCUUUCCAAGAACAUUAUAAAGUUGCCUAUUUUUACAAAAAUAACUCUGUUCAAAGUCUAAACUGUUCAUCCAAUUAAUUUAGGCGCCUAAAAGUAUUCAGCUGAAAGGCAGACGUCUGCAUAGCAUCACAUAAAUUCCCUUCUACGUUUUAAACACAUGACUAAAUCAGAUUAUCCAUCUUUUGUCUUCACACCUACCUUAGUGAAAGGGAACCAUUGGGCCAGGGGCUUUUAUUAGGUUAUUUCCUAAUCUUCUGCCAUUAAUGUAACGCUGGGAUUA